GACGAACGCUGGCGGCGUGCCUAGUACAUGCAAGUCGAACGCUUCUUUCCUCCCGAGUGCUUGCACUCGAUUGGGAAGAGCGGUGGCGGACGGGAGAGUAACACGUCGGUAACCUACCCAUCAGUGGGGGAUAACACUUGGAAACAGGUGCUAAUACCGCAUAACGGUUUAUGCCGCAUGGCAUAAGAGUUAAAGGCGCUUUCGGGUCUCGCUGCUGGAUGGAUCCGCGGUGCAUUAGCUAGUUGGUGAGGUAACGGCUCACCAAGGCCACGAUGCAUAGCCGACCUGAGAGGGUGAUCGGCCACACUGGAACUGAGACACGGCCCAGACUCCUACGGGAGGCAGCAGUAGGGAAUCUUCGGCAAUGGACGAAAGUCUGACCGAGCAACGCCGCGUGAGUGAAGAAGGUCUUCGGAUCGUAAAACUCUGUUGUUAGAGAAGAACAAGGGCGUUAGUAACUGAACGUGCCCUGACGGUAUCUAACCAGAAAGCCACGGCUAACUACGUG
rnacentral:rRNA from 1 species